AGCCAUGGCUGCCGAUUGGUGUUGAGUCAGUUAACAUUACGAACAUCUGGCUUUAUUAUUGCUAAAGCUAUAGGUUAUUAUAGCUUCAGCAAUAAUAACUUGAAGUGAUUUUCUGGUUGACUUGUUUAUGGACGCCCUUCCUUAAAGUCCCACCGCAGCAUUUCAGGUUCUGAGCGUGCUCUCAUGAAAAGGACUUUUUGACUCUUCUUUCAUGCAAAAUGGACCAAUGGAGGGCUGCCUACUCCCAUCACAGACCGAUCAGAUGAACAGGAGCUGUGCUGUGUUGCAGUCUGGAUUGAUCCAGGUGUUCCACCUCCUGACUUGAGUCCUCUUCCAUCUUGUGUCAAGCCAGUUGUUUCCAAGCUUGGUGUGAAAACUGAUAAAGCUCUAACAUGGACAAAAACAACAAAUGUGCGACUCUGUUGUUGGAGUGCAAAAUGUCUCUGCUGCAAUUCACGAGAGCAGUUCUGUUUAUAUCAGGACAAGGAAAGUAAACGGAAGCCUCUCCAGUGUUGCACGUCUCUGGAGAGCAACUAAACUUUCUUGACAGAAAAGUGGCCCGAAGACUGAAGAGUGGCAAGACCUCGUGAACUUUCAAUAUUUCCAGUAAGGGUUCAAACAUGUCUUUUUUUUUGCAACAUCUGCUGGAAGACAAACCAAUUUUGCAACUUUGAAUAUGAGCCUU